rnacentral:ncRNA from 1 species
CAGAGUAGGAACAGGCGCGUUAAGUGCUGGUCGGACGGGAAGUUGCCGGCCGGACGAGUGGGCCGGAGGCCCAGCGGUGCCUGUUCCGCAUUCCGCUGU